rnacentral:SRP_RNA from 1 species
CCGUGCUAGACGGGGAGGUAGCGGUGCCCUGCACCCACAAUCCGCUGCAGUGGGGUCGAAUUCCCUCCCGAGGUUUUUUCCUGUGGGGUCCGGCCGUGAUAAGUGGCGAGGAAGACCGGGUCCCGCGCAAUGGAAACUUCCGAACCCCGCCAGGUCCGGAAGGAAGCAACGGUAAGGAAGCCCUUCCAUGUGCCGCGGGGUAGCCUAGUCGGAGCUAACUGUCAUGGUAUCGCCCGGAGGGAAAAAUCGACGGAGGGUGCACGG